GACGAACGCUGGCGGCGUGCUUAACACAUGCAAGUCGAACGGAAAGGCCCCUUUGGGGGUACUCGAGUGGCGAACGGGUGAGUAACACGUGAGUAACCUGCCCUUGACUUCGGGAUAACUUCAGGAAACUGGGGCUAAUACCGGAUAGGAAUCCUUGCUGCAUGGUGGGGGUUGGAAAGCUUCGGCGGUUUUGGAUGGACUCGCGGCUUAUCAGCUUGUUGGUGGGGUAGUGGCUUACCAAGGCUUUGACGGGUAGCCGGCCUGAGAGGGCGACCGGCCACAUUGGGACUGAGAUACGGCCCAGACUCCUACGGGAGGCAGCAGUUGGGAAUAUUGCACAAUGGGCGGAAGCCUGAUGCAGCAACGCCGCGUGCGGGAUGACGGCCUUCGGGUUGUAAACCGCUUUCAGCAGGGGCGAAGCUUGUGGUGACGGUACCUGCAGAAGAAGCACCGGCUAACUACGUG
rnacentral:rRNA from 1 species